rnacentral:tRNA from 1 species
GGUUGUAGCUUAGUGCUAGAGCACUUGCCUAGCAUGUGUGAGGCCCUGGGUUCAAUCCUCAGCACCA